rnacentral:tRNA from 4 species
GCCAGGAGCGAUAAAAUAUAUAUAAUCAACAAGUUAGAUUUUCACUCCGGGACUUAAAAUCCCUCGGGAGUUAAAUCCCGUGCCGGUUCAAGUCCGGCCCCGGGCACCA